GAUGAACGCUGGCGGCGUGCCUAAUACAUGCAAGUCGAGCGAACGGACGAGAAGCUUGCUUCUUUGAUGUUAGCGGCGGACGGGUGAGUAACACGUGGAUAACCUACCUCUAAGACUGGGAUAACUUCGGGAAACCGGAGCUAAUACCGGAUAAUAUUUUGAACCGCAUGGUUCAAAAGUGAAAGACGGUCUUGCUGUCACUUAUAGAUGGAUCCGCGCUGCAUUAGCUAGUUGGUAAGGUAACGGCUUACCAAGGCAACGAUGCAUAGCCGACCUGAGAGGGUGAUCGGCCACACUGGAACUGAGACACGGUCCAGACUCCUACGGGAGGCAGCAGUAGGGAAUCUUCCGCAAUGGGCGAAAGCCUGACGGAGCAACGCCGCGUGAGUGAUGAAGGUCUUCGGAUCGUAAAACUCUGUUAUUAGGGAAGAACAUAUGUGUAAGUAACUGUGCACAUCUUGACGGUACCUAAUCAGAAAGCCACGGCUAACUACGUG
rnacentral:rRNA from 1 species